CGAAAGUGUUUUCCUACGGUGAAGCGAAUUCAUAGCAAUCAUGUCUACUUUUAUUCUGGCAUUAGCCACAUCGACGCCAUUGAAAAUGUUAACCAAUGUCAUACGGAAAAUGAUUGCUCAACUGAGAAUAAAAUGCUAUGUGGAUUACCUGAUUGCAUGAGUAUCAAUCGGUCGGAAUUGCUACGUUCCUCAUCAAAGAAGCCUACAUAUUCAUUCCCAAAUGGGAAUUUUGAUAGCAUGGAGUUAUGUUGGUUUAGAGGAAUGGCAGUUGCAGUGAGGAAAUCUGAGUUUGAUGUCAUUGAUGAAGCAAGAACUAUUCUUAGCUUACCAUCUCAUCCAUGUUUUCCAAUCUUAAUUGGUAUUUGUCGGGAUGAAAAGCCAUUCAUUUUAAUAACAAAAUUUUAUGGUCAUGUAGGAACUGGAGUGUACAUGUCCUUGGAAGGAUUGUGCUAUACUCAUGGAAUCACUUUUGCCGAGUGGAUAUCUUUAUUAAUUAAGAUAUGGGAAGGCAUAGAGUUGUUGCAUUCUUGUGGAUUUGCUCAUGGAGGUCUUGGAGUUCAAAACAUUAUUGUUGU